UUGGGUGUGUGAGAUUUAUAGAAUAUACUAGUAUCAACUUUCAGUUAGUGCUAAUAUGAUAGCUGCUUUUGGUGCUGAAGCUGCAACAUCUAUUUCUACAAAUCCACUUGGUAUUCAAGACAAGACUUCAGGUCAAUACAUACUUUGUUCAGUUGUUGGAUGAAGUUUUACUAAAGUUGAACAACAAAAUGAAUGAAGUGGUUAGUCCUGAUGUCAAUGCAUACUUAAGCAGUCUUGAUGUCAAAACGCACACUUAAGGGAUUUCUCGGAUGGAUGAAGGAGACAGGAUCAUCAUCUUUGAAAGGGGAGACCUCGUCUUUGCCUUCAACUUUCAUUGGAGUAACAGUUACUUCAACUACCGAGUUGGCUGCUUAAAGUCAGGAAAAUACAAGCUAUAUAUGGUAGGACUUCGCCAUGGCAAUUUAUGAGAAGAAGUAAUUGCCAUUUCAAAUAUAUUUAAGACGUUUUUGUCUGAACAAUCGCACGUAUAAAGUGAGGCACAAAAAUGAUGUCAUCCGUCUUCCUGGUGCUAACCUUGUCAGAGAUGUCAAUGUAAGGAAUA